UAUAUUUUAGUGUAAGAUGCACGAAGAGUUUUGAUCUCUUAAGGUAUAGUUUAAGUCUAUAAAAUAUAA
rnacentral:tRNA from 1 species